rnacentral:rRNA from 1 species
CCUACGGGAGGCAGCAGUAGGGAAUUUUCGUCAAUGGGCGCAAGCCUGAACGAGCGAUGCCGCGUGAGUGAAGAAGGCCUUCGGGUCGUAAAGCUCUGUUGCGGGGGAAAAAAGGCAGCAUCAGGAAAUGGGUGCUGACUGAUGGUGCCCCGCCAGAAAGUCACGGCUAACUACGUGCCAGCAGCCGCGGUAAUACGGAGGUGGCGAGCGUUAUCCGGAAGGAUUGGGCGUAAAGGGUGCGCAGGCGGUCCUGCAAGUCUGGAGUGAAACGCAUGAGCUCAACUCAUGCAUGGCUUUGGAAACUGGAGGACUGGAGAGCAGGAGAGGGCGGUGGAACUCCAUGUGUAGCGGUAAAAUGCGUAGAUAUAUGGAAGAACACCAGUGGCGAAGGCGGCCGCCUGGCCUGUUGCUGACGCUGAGGCACGAAAGCGUGGGGAGCAAAUAGGAUUAGAUACCCUUGUAGUC